GUAGGUGGCAAGCGUUGUCCGGAAUUAUUGGGCGUAAAGCGCGCGCAGGUGGUUCUUUAAGUCUGAUGUGAAAGCCCCCGGCUCAACCGGGGAGGGUCAUUGGAAACUGGGGAACUUGAGUGCAGGAGAGGAAAGUGGAAUUCCACGUGUAGCGGUGAAAUGCGUAGAUAUGUGGAGGAACACCAGUGGCGAAGGCGACUUUCUGGCCUGUAACUGACACUGAGGCGCGAGAGCGUGGGGAGCAAACAGGGAUUAGAUACCCUGGUAGUCCACGCCGUAAACGAUGAGUGCUAAGUGUUGGGGGGGUUUCCGCCCCCUCAGUGCUGCAGCUAACGCAUUAAGCACUCCGCCCUGGGAGUACGGUCGCAAGACUG
rnacentral:rRNA from 1 species